CAGCUAGUUGGUAGGGUAAGAGCCUACCAAGGCAGAGAUCGGUAGCCGGCCUGAGAGGGCACACGGCCACACUGGCACUGAAACACGGGCCAGACUCCUACGGGAGGCAGCAGUGGGGAAUCUUGCACAAUGGGGGAAACCCUGAUGCAGCGACGCCGCGUGAGCGAUGAAGCCCUUCGGGGUGUAAAGCUCUUUCGUCAGGGAAGAUAGUGACGGUACCUGGAGAAGCAGCUGCGGCUAACUACGUGCCAGCAGCCGCGGUAAUACGUAGGCAGCAAGCGUUGUUCGGAGUUACUGGGCGUAAAGGGUGUGUAGGCGGUUCUUUAAGUUUGCUGUGAAAUCUCCCGGCUUAACCGGGAGGGUGCGGUGAAUACUGAGGGACUAGAGUACGGGAGAGGAAAGUGGAAUUCCUGGUGUAGCGGUGAAAUGCGUAGAUAUCAGGAGGAACACCGGUGGUGUAGACGGCUUUCUGGACCGUAACUGACGCUGAGACACGAAAGCGUGGGUAGCAAACAGGAUUAGAUACCCUGGUAGUCCACGCCCUAAACGAUGCAUAUUUGGUGUGGGCAGUUCAUUCUGUCCGUGCCGGAGCUAACGCGUUAAAUAUGCCGCCUGGGGAGUACAGUCGCAAGGCUGAAACU
rnacentral:rRNA from 1 species